rnacentral:rRNA from 1 species
UACGAAGGGGGCUAGCGUUGCUCGGAAUCACUGGGCGUAAAGCGCACGUAGGCGGACUCUUAAGUCAGGGGUGAAAUCCUGGAGCUCAACUCCAGAACUGCCUUUGAUACUGGGAGCCUUGAGUUCGAGAGAGGUGAGUGGAACUGCGAGUGUAGAGGUGAAAUUCGUAGAUAUUCGCAAGAACACCAGUGGCGAAGGCGGCUCACUGGCUCGAUACUGACGCUGAGGUGCGAAAGCGUGGGGAGCAAACGGG